rnacentral:rRNA from 1 species
AAACCAACAGGGAUUGCUCUAGUAACGGCGAGUGAAGCAGCAAUAGCUCAAAUUUGAAAUCUGGCGUCUUCAACGUCCGAGUUGUGAUUUGUAGAGGAUGCUUCUGAGUAACCACCGACCUAAGUUCCUUGGAACAGGACGUCAUAGAGGGUGAGAAUCCCGUAUGCGGUCGGAAAGGUGCUCUACACGUAGCUCCUUCGACGAGUCGAGUUGUUUGGGAAUGCAGCUCUAAAUGGGAGGUAAAUUUCUUCUAAAGCUAAAUAUUGGCCAGAGACCGAUAGCGCACAAGUAGAGUGAUCGAAAGAUGAAAAGCACUUUGGAAAGAGAGUUAAAAAGCACGUGAAAUUGUUAAAAGGGAAGGGAUUGCAACCAGACUUGCUCGCGGUGUUCCGCCGGUCUUCUGACCGGUCUACUCGCCACGUUGCAGGCCAGCAUCGUCUGGUGCCGCUGGAUAAGACUUGAGGAAUGUAGCUCCCUCGGGAGUGUUAUAGCCUCUUGUGAUGCAGCGAGCGCCGGGCGAGGUCCGCGCUUCGGCUAGGAUGCUGGCGUAAUGGUCGUAAUCCGC